rnacentral:rRNA from 1 species
GGGGAAUUUUGGACAAUGGGCGCAAGCCUGAUCUAGCAAUGCCGCGUGCAGGAUGAAGGCCUUCGGGCUGUAAACUGCUUUUGUACGGAACGAAAAGUCUCGGGUUAAUACCCUGGGAUCAUGACGGUACCGUAAGAAUAAGCACCGGCUAACUACGUGCCAGCAGCCGCGGUAAUACGUAGGGUGCAAGCGUUAAUCGGAAUUACUGGGCGUAAAGCGUGCGCAGGCGGUUUUGUAAGACAGUGGUGAAAUCCCCGGGCUCAACCUGGGAACUGCCAUUGUGACUGCAAGGCUGGAGUGCGGCAGAGGGGGAUGGAAUUCCGCGUGUAGCAGUGAAAUGCGUAGAUAUGCGGAGGAACACCGAUGGCGAAGGCAAUCCCCUGGGCCUGCACUGACGCUCAUGCACGAAAGCGUGGGGAGCAAAC